rnacentral:rRNA from 1 species
GACGAACGCUGGCGGCGUGCCUAAUACAUGCAAGUCGAACGAACCGCGACUGAGUGCUUGCACUUGGUCAAGGUGAGUGGCGAACGGGUGAGUAACACGUGGGUAACCUACCUCAUAGUGGGGGAUAACAGUCGGAAACGACUGCUAAUACCGCAUAGGACAUGGAAUCACAUGAUUCUGUGAGGAAAGGUGGCGCAAGCUAUCGCUAAGAGAUGGACCCGCGGUGCAUUAGCUAGUUGGUAGGGUAACGGCCUACCAAGGCGAUGAUGCAUAGCCGACCUGAGAGGGUGAUCGGCCACAUUGGGACUGAGACACGGCCCAAACUCCUACGGGAGGCAGCAGUAGGGAAUCUUCCGCAAUGGACGCAAGUCUGACGGAGCAACGCCGCGUGAGUGAAGAAGGUCUUCGGAUCGUAAAGCUCUGUUGUUAGAGAAGAACAGCGCAUAGAGUAACUGUUAUGCGUGUGACGGUAUCUAACCAGAAAGCCACGGCUAACUACGUGCCAGCAGCCGCGGUAAUACGUAGGUGGCGAGCGUUGUCCGGAUUUAUUGGGCGUAAAGGGAGUGUAGGCGGUCUUUUAAGUCUGAUGUGAAAGCCCACGGCUCAACCGUGGAGGGUCAUUGGAAACUGGGAGACUUGAGUGCAGAAGAGGAGAGCGGAAUUCCAUGUGUAGCGGUGAAAUGCGUAGAUAUAUGGAGGAACACCAGUGGCGAAGGCGGCUCUCUGGUCUGUAACUGACGCUGAGGCUCGAAAGCGUGGGGAGCAACAGG